CUAAAAAUCGAGAAAUGUGGCUGAAAAUCGAGAAUUUCAGCUGAAAAUCGAGAAAUUUGGCUGAAAA
ensembl:ncRNA Y50D7A.16 ncRNA